rnacentral:rRNA from 1 species
UACGGAAGGCAGCAGUGGGGAAUAUUGCACAAUGGGCGCAAGCCUGAUGCAGCCAUGCCGCGUGUAUGAAGAAGGCCUUCGGGUUGUAAAGUACUUUCAGCGGGGAGGAAGGGAGUAAAGUUAAUACCUUUGCUCAUUGACGUUACCCGCAGAAGAAGCACCGGCUAACUCCGUGCCAGCAGCCGCGGUAAUACGGAGGGUGCAAGCGUUAAUCGGAAUUACUGGGCGUAAAGCGCACGCAGGCGGUUUUGUUAAGUCAGAUGUGAAAUCCCCGGGCUCAACCUGGGAACUGCAUCUGAUACUGGCAAGCUUGAGUCUCGUAGAGGGGGUAGAAUUCCAGGUGUAGCGGUGAAAUGCGUAGAGAUCUGGAGGAAUACCGGUGGCGAAGGCGGCCCCUGGACGAGACUGACGCUCAGGUGCGAAAGCGUGGGGAGCAAACGAGGAUUAGAUAACC